ensembl:snRNA U6 U6 spliceosomal RNA
GUGAUGCUUGCUUUGGCAUCACAUAUACUAAAAUUGGAAUGAUACAAAGAGUAUUAGCAUGGCCCCUUCACUAGGAUGUCACACAAAUUCAGGAUAUGUUUAAUUUUAUU